GGGUCGUUAGCUCAGUUGGCAGAGCAGUGGACUUUUAAUCCAUGGGUCCUGGGUUCGAGCCCCAGACGACCCAC
rnacentral:tRNA from 1 species